GGACAAAAAUGGCAGUUAAAAAAAAUUUUGCUGUAAUUAGGCCAGAAAAUUUUUUGAGUCUAAUAAUCUAAUUAGACAAUGGUCAGUAUUCAAGACCCGAUUUUAACUUUUUAACUCUGCAAAAUAACUUUUGUUUGUUGAUCUAGAAUCUAGAAUAUGCUCCUAUUACGUUGAUCUUUACGUUCAACUAGAUCAUCCUCUCCAUCUACAUAAUCGUUGAAGUUUCUGAUAAUACUGUUCAUAAAUAAGGGUUUGAAAUAUAACAGUAAUAGUUGAUAAAUACAAAAUUCAACGUACACAGCUUGCUUAUGACAUUAUUCAGACAAAAUCCCAUCGAACUUAACAGUUCAGUAUUGCUAAGCAAUAUAUGCGUCUUAAGGAAGAUUUGGAAGGACUUUUGGG
rnacentral:misc_RNA from 1 species